AGGGAGGGGGGAGCAGAUAAGGAGGCGCACAGGGGUGGGUGCUGGGACUGAGGGUUAGUACCAGGUGGAGCUUCCACCCGGUACGGCCCUCAGGCACAUUAGUACCGGGUGGAGACUCCACCCAGUACUAAUGGGUGAUCUUUAUUACCGGUCGGAGCUCCCAACCGGUACUAAAGGAGGUCACGAGGGACUUCUGGGAAACUAGCCGUUAGACCCGAUACUAAUGCUCACAUUAGUAUCGGGUCAAAAACCAACCGGUACUAAAGGCUAGGACCAAUGCUCGGAUUUCUAGUAAUGCGAGGAUAAACAACAUGAAGUAGGAGUUCAACCGGACGUUCGCUCACCGGAACGAGAGGUGGACUAAAUGGAGCACACAGCUAAAAUCUGGACUAAAAUCUUUUGCUCGCGAGGAGGUCUAAAACGUGUUGGGGCGAGUGCUGGACGCACGAUACCCCCCGCGCACCCUAUCCAUUCCCGCACCCUGCCCCUGGCGCGUCACGCACCCGCAACGCCGCCGCCGCCCCGCUCGCCCGAUCUCCUCCGUCUCCAGCACCAGGGACUUCUUCGGCAGCUGCUCGGGGACGCCGCGGGGAGGCUAGUCGGCCGGCGACGCCGGCUCGGAUCCGGACAGCGCGCCGAACUGGAGGUGCGAGGGCUGGCCGCGCGGAGCCUGCGCCGGAGGGUCGAAGGGCAGCGCGAGCCCCGGCGGCUCCGGCUGCAGGCGUGCGCCUCGGCGAGCGCGUAGCGGUCCACGCACGGCCGCGGUGAGCAGCACCGCGCGGCCGCGGCACAGCGCGACGGCCUCCUGGUCGUCGAGCUUGGCAGUGUAUACCGUCCACUAUACUUGCCCCCCAUUAAUGGCAAAUCAGUCAUUGUUCCUGUGGGAUCUCUAGCUAUAGCUGCCUUUGCAUUUGGGACUGCCUCCAGUUGGCCAAGAAAACUGUGGAAUUUGUCAUCUGUUUAAUCCCUAUUUGUGUCUGCAAUUCGUUGAUCUGUUCUGUACUUUUCAUUACUUUUAAUCGGUUGAAUGAGGGGCAAAUCAUAUGCUGCUGUUA